AACGAACGCUGGCGGCAGGCCUAACACAUGCAAGUCGAGCGAGAUCUUCGGGUCUAGCGGCGGACGGGUGAGUAACGCGUGGGAAUAUGCCUCUUGGUACGGAAUAGCCUCGGGAAACUGGGAGUAAUACCGUAUGUGCCCUUUGGGGGAAAGAUUUAUCGCCAAGAGAUUAGCCCGCGUUGGAUUAGGUAGUUGGUGGGGUAAUGGCCUACCAAGCCGACGAUCUAUAGCUGGUUUGAGAGGAUGAUCAGCCACACUGGGACUGAGACACGGCCCAGACUCCUACGGGAGGCAGCAGUGGGGAAUCUUAGACAAUGGGGGCAACCCUGAUCUAGCCAUGCCGCGUGAGUGAUGAAGGCCUUAGGGUUGUAAAGCUCUUUCAGCUGGGAAGAUAAUGACGGUACCAGCAGAAGAAGCCCCGGCUAACUCCGUG
rnacentral:rRNA from 1 species